ACUGUGGAGUGUACUUUGGAUCUGCCGGUAGCAGAUGGAAACAUCUGCGAAAGCAUACACGUUGAAGCAGUAA
rnacentral:ncRNA from 1 species